ACCAAUUCAAGAUCAAGCCCCGACGGCCCUUGAAGAAAGCACCAUCGUUCAUCAUCCGUUCAUCCAAGAUCAAGCCCCAACGACACUUUGGAUCAACAACGUCGACAAAUCCACACACAUCCAACCGUUCUUCAAGAUUAAGCCUAAAAGCCCUUGAAGAUCUGUUCAUCACUGUUCUUCAAGAUCAAGCCCAAAAGCCCUUGAAGAUCCAUUCAUCACCGUUAUUCAAGAUCAAGCCUUAACGGCCCUUGAAGAAACAUUCAUCCUCAAGAUCAAGCCCACGGCCCCUUGAAGAAACUUCCAACAGUUUAUCCAAGAUCAAGCCUCGACGGCCCUUGGAUCAACGAAACAUCCACAAAUCAAUA
rnacentral:lncRNA from 1 species